rnacentral:rRNA from 1 species
CCUACGGGAGGCAGCAGUGGGGAAUUUUGGACAAUGGGCGCAAGCCUGAUCCAGCAAUGCCGCGUGAGUGAAGAAGGCCUUCGGGUUGUAAAGCUCUUUUGUCAGGGAAGAAACGGUGGGAGCUAAUAUCUCUUGCUAAUGACGGUACCUGAAGAAUAAGCACCGGCUAACUACGUGCCAGCAGCCGCGGUAAUACGUAGGGUGCAAGCGUUAAUCGGAAUUACUGGGCGUAAAGCGUGCGCAGGCGGUUUUGUAAGACUGUCGUGAAAUCCCCGGGCUCAACCUGGGAAUGGCGAUGGUGACUGCAAGGCUAGAGUUUGGCAGAGGGGGGUAGAAUUCCACGUGUAGCAGUGAAAUGCGUAGAUAUGUGGAGGAACACCGAUGGCGAAGGCAGCCCCCUGGGUCAAAACUGACGCUCAUGCACGAAAGCGUGGGGAGCAAACAGGAUUAGAUACCCUGGUAGUCCACGCCCUAAACGAUGUCUACUAGUUGUCGGGUCUUAAUUGACUUGGUAACGCAGCUAACGCGUGAAGUAGACCGCCUGGGGAGUACGGUCGCAAGAUUAAAACGUCAAAGGAUUGACGGCUGAGACGNGACGAGACGACGACGAGGGAGGAGG